AAUAAUGCAGUCGAGCGGAUCUUCUCCUUCGGGGGAAGUUAGCGGCGGACGGGUGAGUAACACGUAGGCAACCUGCCCACAAGACCGGGAUAACAUUCGGAAACGAAUGCUAAGACCGGAUACGCAAGCCUGGGGCAUCCCGGGCUUGGGAAACACGGCGCAAGCUGUGGCUUGUGGAUGGGCCUGCGGCGCAUUAGCUAGUUGGCGGGGUAACGGCCCACCAAGGCGACGAUGCGUAGCCGACCUGAGAGGGUGAACGGCCACACUGGGACUGAGACACGGCCCAGACUCCUACGGGAGGCAGCAGUAGGGAAUCUUCCACAAUGGGCGAAAGCCUGAUGGAGCAACGCCGCGUGAGUGAGGAAGGCUUUCGGGUCGUAAAGCUCUGUUGCCAGGGAAGAAUAAGGGCCAGUUAACUGCUGGUCCGAUGACGGUACCUGAGAAGAAAGCCCCGGCUAACUACGUGCCAGCAGCCGCGGUAAUACGUAGGGGGCAAGCGUUGUCCGGAAUUAUUGGGCGUAAAGCGCGCGCAGGCGGUUCUUUAAGUCUGGUGUAUAAGUGCGGGGCUCAACCCCGUGAGGCACUGGAAACUGGGGAACUUGAGUGCAAAAGAGGAGAGCGGAAUUCCACGUGUAGCGGUGAAAUGCGUAGAGAUGUGGAGGAGCACCAGUGGCGAAAGCGGCUCUCUGGACUGUAACUGACGCUGAGGCGCGAAAGCGUGGGGAGCAAACAGGAAUAGAAUACUCUGGUAGUCCACGCCGUAAACGAUGAGUGCUNAGUGUUUGGGGGGAAUCGCCCCCUCGGUGCCNAAGUUAACACAUUAAGCACUCCGCCUGGGGAGUACGCUCGCAA
rnacentral:rRNA from 1 species